rnacentral:rRNA from 1 species
UCGCCUACGGGAGGCAGCAGUGAGGAAUAUUGGUCAAUGGUCGGGAGACUGAACCAGCCAAGCCGCGUGAGGGAUGAAGGUACAGAGUAUCGUAAACCUCUUUUGUCAGGGAACAAAGGCGGGGACGUGUCCCCGGAUGAGUGUACCUGAAGAAAAAGCAUCGGCUAACUCCGUGCCAGCAGCCGCGGUAAUACGUAGGGGGCAAGCGUUAUCCGGAUUUACUGGGUGUAAAGGGAGCGUAGACGGCCAUGCAAGUCUGAUGUGAAAACCCGGGGCUCAACCCCGGGACUGCAUUGGAAACUGGG